UUAACAGAAAAAAAAAAGAAAAAGAAAAAAGAGACUGCCCCCAAAGAAUAAGGAUAACACUUGGGAAUGGUAUUAGGAUCAGGGAACCCUAAUUUCCUAGCCCGUGUUUUGAGCUGCAUUGUUUUGUUUGAGGGUAUUCUAGAGGUGCUUCCCAGUUCAAUGAAUUUUGUAAGAUCCAAGUGCGUCAUCGGUUCGGUGAUCGGUUGUAGGGUAUGUCAAGACUUAAAGGGGU
rnacentral:lncRNA from 1 species